ACCAUGCAAACCCUACCCACUGACCUCAGAUUCCUAAGAGAGCAACAGGCCACUGCUACCCCACAGGAAAAACAAAGCUGGAAGGACAAAGGAGCAAUCAUACAGAAUGAUAUAUAUACAAUCAACCUCAAAUUCUGUCUACCCAAGAAUAUGUAUCCAGCUGUUGUCCAAUGGGCUCAUGGACCAACACAUUUGUCAAAACAACUCAUGAACUCUUUGAUUGACAAAUAUUUCGAAGCACCUGGGAUCACUACCUUAACUCGAAACUACUGCUGGUCCUGUACUAUCUGUGCUAAAUGCAACCCAGGGAAAAUAAUCAAAGCUGCACCGAAUCAUUUGGCCAAACCACAAUAUCCCUUCCAGAGGAUCCAAAUUGAU
rnacentral:lncRNA from 1 species